AGCUGGGUUGAGAGGACCCCAGGGCCCAUGGGGGCAUCCAUUACUCAGAAUCCGGGCUCACAUAGGGACGGGACCAAAGACAUCCCAGAACUUUCCGAAGCCUCAUCUGUCCUACCUCCAAGCUCUACCAGCCUGCCGUGCUCAUGCACCCAGAGGAAGAUCUGCAGUGACCCCUCAGAACAAUAGCAUGUAGAGUGACCCUGAGUCAUCCGGAGCAGGUCACGCUGUGCCAGCCUGUGGAAGACUGGGAGAAAGCAAACAGAUGUCCAUCAGUGGACCAGUGGAUCCGCAGAACGUGGUGUAUCACAGAGAAUAGAACAUCAUUCAGCCUGAAAAAGGAAGGAAACUUGGACAUGUGUCACAGCAUGGAUGAACCUUGAGGACACGAUGCUCAACGGAACAAGCCAAUCACAGAAAGAAAAGCAUUGUCUGGUUGCGCUUGUAUGAGGCCCCUAGAGCUGCCAAACACAGAUGGAAAGUCGAUGGAGGUUGCUCGGGGCUGAGGGUGAGGGAAUGGAGUGUUAGAGUUUCAUAGGUGUAAUAGUUUAAUAGUUCACUUUGGGGAAGACAGAAAAGUUCUGGAAUUGGCUGGUGGUGAGGAUAGCACAACAGUGUGAAUGUCCUUAAUGCCACUAAACUGUGCACCUAAAAAUGGUUAAGAUGGUCGAUUUUAUGUGUAUUGUACCACAGUAAAAGUGAAUACAUUAAACAACUCUGUAGUGAUAAA